rnacentral:rRNA from 1 species
UNGGAAUUACUGGGCGUAAAGCGAGCGCAGACGGUUACUUAAGCAGGAUGUGAAAUCCCCGGGCUCAACCUGGGAACUGCGUUCUGAACUGGGUAGCUAGAGUAUNUCAGAGGGGGGUAGAAUUCCACGUGUAGCAGUGAAAUGCGUAGAGAUGUGGAGGAAUACCGAUGGCGAAGGCAGCCCCCUGGGUUAAUACUGACGUUCAUGCUCGAAAGCGUGGGUAGCAAACAGGAUUAGAUACCCUGGUAGUCCACGCCCUAAACGAUGUCGAUUAGCUGUUGGGCAACUUGAUUGCUUAGUAGCGUAGCUAACGCGUGAAAUCGACCGCCUGGGGAGUACGGUCGCAAGAUUAAAACUCAAAGGAAUUGACGGGGACCCGCACAAGCGGUGGAUGAUGUGGAUUAAUUCGAUGCAACGCGAAGAACCUUACCUGGUCUUGACAUGUACGGAAGAACUCAGAGACGAGUUUGUGCCUUCGGGAGCCGUAACACAGGUGCUGCAUGGCUGUCGUCAGCUCGUGUCGUGAGAUGUUGGGUUAAGUCCCGCAACGAGCGCAACCCUUGUCAUUAGUUGCCAUCAUUUAGUUGGGCACUCUAAUGAGACUGCCGGUGACAAACCGGAGGAAGGUGGGGAUGACGUCAAGUCCUCAUGGCCCUUAUGACCAGGGCUUCACACAUCAUACAAUGGUCGGUACAGAGGGUAGCCAAGCCGCGAGGUGGAGCCAAUCCCAGAAAACCGAUCGUAGUCCGGAUUGCACUCUGCAACUCGAGUGCAUGAAGUCGGAAUCGCUAGUAAUCGCAGGUCAGCAUACUGCGGUGAAUACGUUCCCGGGUCUUGUACACACCGCCCGUCACACCAUGGGAGUGGGGGAUACCAGAAGUAGGUAGGGUAACCGCAAGG